rnacentral:rRNA from 1 species
AUUGAACGCUGGCGGCAGGCUUAACACAUGCAAGUCGAGCGAGCGGCGGACGGGUGAGUAAUGUCUGGGAAACUGCCUGAUGGAGGGGGAUAACUACUGGAAACGGUAGCUAAUACCGCAUACCCUCAGAUGUGCCCAGAUGGGAUUAGCUAGUAGGUGGGGUAAGGGCUCACCUAGGCGACGAUCCCUCGCUGGUCUGAGAGGAUGACCAGCCAAACUGGAACUGGGACACGGUCCAGAGUCUUACGGGAGGGAGCAGUGGGGAAUAUUGCACAAUGGGGGAAAGCCUGAUGAAGACAUGCCGCGUGUGGGAAGAAGGCCUUGGGGUUGUAAAGCACUUUCAGCGAGGAGGCGUUACUCGCAGAAGAAGCACCGGCUAACUCCGUGCCAGCAGCCGCGGUAAUUC